UUCUCAUCUUUAGUUAUUGGACUCAAGCUAUUAAUGUUUUCUGUGAAGCCCUUGAAACCAACCUUUAAAUCCUACCUUCUGUCUGUUCAGACUGAUCUAAAAAAAACUCCACAGCCGCCUAUCAAGAAGUUUGCUUCCUGGGGCCAAGUUACUUCCAGUAUCAGGGCCAUGGGACUUUCUCAUGAUGGAAAAAUACAGAGAGGCAUGAAGACAGGAACUGUUCAAAUUAGUUGGGAGGGGGGCACAUUCAGAGCGGGGUGUUGCGAGAACAAGCGGUCUUUUGUUAGAUAACAGGAGCCAGGUGCGAGAUAACGGUAUGGAGCAUGAGAGCCUGGAUGUUCUUCACAUCUAUCAACAGAAGCGCCAGGAGGCGGGGCCCGCCUGAGCGCCUGCAAUAGACUGGACAAGUUUAAACCACGCCCAGUCUCUACUGUGAUAGGCCAACAGACGGGUUGGAACUGUCUAUCACAGUAUAAAGAAUACUGUUUUACAUACGUCUUGUCAGUUCUCUGUUCUGCCCUGCGUGGUAUUACAGAGAGCCCGUAUAUACGAAAGUUGCAUUUGCCAUUUAUUACUUAGCUAAUAAAAAAUACAUAGUAUAAAAUCGGUGACUCAUUGUUAUAUUUAUCCUGAUACCAGAUUUGAA